rnacentral:rRNA from 1 species
UACGAAGGGGGCUAGCGUUGUUCGGAUUUACUGGGCGUAAAGCGUGCGCAGGCGGUUUCGUAAGUCUGUCGUGAAAUCCCCGGGCUUAACCUGGGAAUGGCGAUGGAGACUGCGAGGCUAGAGUUUGGCAGAGGGGGGUAGAAUUCCACGUGUAGCAGUGAAAUGCGUAGAGAUGUGGAGGAACACCGAUGGCGAAGGCAGCCCCCUGGGUCAAAACUGACGCUCAUGCACGAAAGCGUGGGGAGCAAACAGG